rnacentral:rRNA from 1 species
GACGAACGCUGGCGGCGUGCUUAACACAUGCAAGUCGAACGGAAAGGCCCUGCUUUUGUGGGGUGCUCGAGUGGCGAACGGGUGAGUAACACGUGAGUAACCUGCCCUUGACUUUGGGAUACCUUCAGGAAACUGGGGCUAAUACCAGAUAGGAGCUCUUGCUGCAUGGUGGGGGUUGGAAAGUUUCGGCGGUUGGGGAUGGACUAGCGGCUUAUCAGCUUGUUGGUGGGGUAGUGGCUUACCAAGGCUUUGACGGGUAGCCGGCCGGAGAGGGUGACCGGCCACAUUGGGACUGAGAUACGGCCCAGACUCCUACGGGAGGCAGCAGUGGGGAAUAGUGCACAAUGGGCGGAAGCCUGAUGCAGCAACGCCGCGUGCGGGAUGACGGCCUUCGGGUUGUAAACCGCUUUCGCCUGUGACGAAGCGUGAGUGACGGUAAUGGGUAAAGAAGCACCGGCUAACUACGUGCCAGCAGCCGCCGCCG